rnacentral:rRNA from 1 species
UGGUUGAUCCUGCCAGAGGCUACUGCUAUCGAGGUUCGACUAAGCCAUGCGAGUCGAAUGUAGCAAUACAUGGCGUACUGCUCAGUAACACGUGGACAACCUACCCUUUGGACGGGGAUAAACCCGGGAAACUGGGUAUAAUACCCGAUAGAUCUGAGAGGCUGGAAUGCGCUCAGAUUGAAAGCUCCGGCGCCCAAGGAUGGGUCUGCGGCCUAUCAGGUAGUAGUGGGUGUAGCGUACCUACUAGCCUACGACGGGUACGGGUUGUGAGAGCAAGAGCCCGGAGAUGGAUUCUGAGACACGAAUCCAGGCCCUACGGGGUGCAGCAGGCGCGAAAACUUUACAAUGCUGGAAACAGCGAUAAGGGGACCUCGAGUGCCAGGUUACAAAUCUGGCUGUCGUGAUGCCUAAAAAGCAUUGCAUAGCAAGGGCCGGGCAAGACCGGUGCCAGCCGCCGCGGUAACACCGGCGGCUCGAGUGGUAACCGUUAUUAUUGGGUCUAAAGGGUCUGUAGCCGGCCGGAUAAGUCUCUUGAGAAAUCUGGCAGCUUAACUGUCAGGCUAUCAGGGGAUACUGUCUGGCUCGAGGCCGGGAGAGGUGAGAGGUACUUCAGGGGUAGGGGUGAAAUCUUGUAAUCCUUGAAGGACCACCAGUGGCGAAGGCGUCUCACCAGAACGGACCUGACGGCAAGGGACGAAAGCUAGGGGCACGAACCGGAUUAGAUACCCGGGUAGUCCUAGCCGUAAACGAUACUCGCUAGGUGUCGGCCACGGUGCGACCGUGGUCGGUGCCGUAGGGAAGCCGUGAAGCGAGCCACCUGGGAAGUACGGCCGCAAGGCUGAAACUUAAAGGAAUUGGCGGGG